CAAUAGCGUAUAUUAAAGUUGUUGCAGUUAAAACGCUCGUAGUUGAAUAUCUGCUGUAAGUUAUUCUGGUCCUAUUUGUGCACCAGAAUACUGCAAGCAUCCGAUUGCAGUUUCUUUUGAUUCUGCAAUCCUUUCACUUUGAGGAAAUUAGAGUGUUCAAAGCGGGCUUACGCUUGAAUAUUUCAGCAUGGAAUAACACUAUAGGACUCCUGUCCUAUUUCGUUGGUCUCGGGACGGGAGUAAUGAUUAAGAGGAACAGUUGGGGGCAUUCGUAUUUCAUUGUCAGAGGUGAAAUUCUUGGAUUUAUGAAAGACGAACUUCUGCGAAAGCAUUUGCCAAGGAUGUUUUCAUUA
rnacentral:rRNA from 1 species